rnacentral:lncRNA from 1 species
GCCGAGGCGACAUCGUAAAAUCAUGAAAACGGAUUUGAAGCAUCGUGGCACAUAACCGAAGACCUUUAAUUUUCGGAUCGUGAAUUGGAGGCCGUUCGGGUGGUCGCGCAAGAGAUCGGGCCAAACCGGGUGCCGGGUGCCGCGGGAGGCCGAUUGCAAGUGUCGACAAGCAAUCGGAAUGCGAAAUGAGGUGGGUUGUGCUUACCGAAGCGACUAGGUCGCCCUUUAUGUCUAAGAAAUGAGAUUUCAUAUUGAUGCAUAUUGACAUAAUAUAAGAAUGUGAAAAGAAUGCAUGUUAACAUACUAUAGAAAUGCUAGAUAAAUGCAUAUGAUUAAUGCUUUGAAUGCAUAAUAUAAAGGGCGUAUGAAUGUUAGCAUUAUAAGAACAUCAUAAAAGGAAUGUAUGAUGACAUGUUGUAGAAUAUGCUAAAUGUAAUGCAUAAUGAAUUAAGUGCUAAAAGAAUGCAUGAGAUGCUAAGUAUGGACUAUUUUGGAUAAUGACUAUAUGUAUGUUGACAAAUCAUGUGAUGCUAGUGGUAUAUGUGCAUGAUGAUAUAUUAUGAAUUUACAUAUUGUGGAUUAUGUUAAAUAGAAAAACAUACUUGAUGACAUAUUGCCAUGUUGUGGAACAUAGUGGACAAUCUAUAUAUAUAUUAGAUCGAGUGGCAUUAAACCUAGCAUCUUGAACCUAGCAAACACUUGUGGUGAUUGAUCAUAUAUAUUCUGGUGUCAUUCAUGUAUGUUAGGACCCUAUUAUUGUGUAAAUGUGAGAGUUGGACUUGAACAUUAGUAAACAAGGGUGACAAUGACAAUAGAGACAUGAUUGGCAUCAAGAAAGUGAUUGUUAAACAUAGUUUAACCAUAUUGACAUUGGUCCAAGUUGACAUAGAGAGUGGCAUGAUUAAAUAGGUAGAGACCUAUCAUGACAUUGGCAUUGUGACGAGUGGCUAUGAAUCCUCAAGUUGAGGAUUGGAUCGAUACUCACGUUACGUCUUGGCUUGAGGGAGGUAGCUCCCCCUCGGGCGGUGCGCUCCGGAGUUGGUCACCACUGGGCGUGGUAAAGUCCCACCAGUUGACGGUCCCUAGGGAGGUUCGAGUCCCCCGUUAUUAAGGGAUUUGGUUGUGAGUUAUUGGGGUUAACAUGGUUAACCGGUAAGAUUGGGUCAUAGCCAAAUGAGUGUACAACAAGUAUGCAUUAUGAGUUAUGGAUUUGGUAUCCUAGUCGAGAGGAUCUAGGGCUGAGGUGUAUGUGAGACGUCCAUCGCCUCGAGCCUGGUUCUAGUGCGGUACUCCGCAGACGAUUGACUCAAGACCGAGUCGGGUGGUUAGCCUUGUAAAGGUAGAUGAAACUUUAUGAUUAAAACGGUGAUUGACAAGAAUCUAAGAUAGAGGAAACCUUAGAUAUCGAAUGGAUGAGCUAUGGUUAGCAGAAUUGAAAGUAGUGUCAAAUGAACUACUAGUUGGUUGCAUAGUUGCAUUAUUGCAUGAUUUGCAUAUAGCAUUGCAUUAUUGCAUUCGUGAGGCAAUGCAUGGUUUUAUUCGUUGCAUAAUCAAGAUAUAUAUCUAUCUGUUUAUUGAACUAACUUGCAGUUGCCUCCCUUGGACCUAUUGGUCGAGCUUUUCCCUUGGGUGGCCGUACCCACUGGGAACCAUGGAGUUGGUUCUCACCCCACGUGGUUUUGGGGUGUUACAGGUUCGCACGUGAGCGGCGCGGCGGCGCGAGGCGAGGGCGUAGCUCCAUAGUUAGCGCCCUACCACCGAGACCAGAGAUAGCGGUACCCUGAGUCGGCCUUACUUAGGGAUGUAAGAAAAUGAAAAGAAUCAAGUUGUAAUAAUAUUGUUAAAGCUAGAUUGUAUUUGGAAGCUAAAAAGAAUGUAUUAAGUACUUGGGAUGUAAAAUGUAUCUAGUGAAUGUGAAUGCAUGUAAUAACAUAGGAUGUGUUAUGUUGUUUGAUACCUUCCUUAUGCAAUCUUUGAUCGAAAUGUGUUCCUGGUUGGAACUUUGUACAUUGUAUUGAUUGCGAUGCCUUGAAUGUACAGGGGAGACUCUGUCCGCGGUAUAGGGGAAACCCUGUCCGUUCGGCGAUCUGUUGGCGGCGCUGCGACCUGGCCAAAUAGGCAAGCGGUCGCGGGGCGUGACAUUCAUCUCCCUCUCCUCUUCCCUUUGGUGUAGUUCAAGAGGUAAGCUACAAACCCUAGCUUGUAGAACUUGGGUUUUUUUGGUUUUAUGCCUUGGAAUGGGUCAAAUGGACCCUAGGCAAGCUUCUAAAUAGAUCAAUCCCAAGAAUCUAGGGAUUUAUUGGGUGGUUUGCUAUAGGUGCAAACCUAGGGCUCCAAAUGGGGUUUUUAGUAAAGUAGGAGAUUGAUUUCAUUUGAGGCCUUGUAAACCUAAUCGAUAGGUGCUCAAACGCGGGGGCGAAGUCGAUUUCGCGAUUCGUCGAGCGGGAUUGGAGCUAUCGGCGAAAUACGGUCGUUUUAGCAUCGUCUUAGACAAGGAAGGCUAAAGCCUUUUCGUAAAGCUUGCCGGGAAGAAUUUCUAAAGCCUCUACAUUGAUAAAAGGUGGGGGUGUCAUCCGAAGCUUUCGAACUCCUUUCUAUGUCUUAGAUUGCAUUUAACCUCAUCUCUUCAUGUUGCAUGGUAGGAUUGCAUGAUAGUACCUUUCCUUAUGCUUUCUAAUUGAUAACCUAGUGUACUUGGAACGCUUGGUAACUUAGAUAGGUGAGGAUUGGGUCGGAGCGUGGAUCCUAUAAUGCGAAAGAAAAAUAGAUGAACCCGAUGGGGGAAUUGAUGACAUAGAAAGUAGUGUUUAGUGUUAAAGAACACACGAGUGGCAUCCAAAUGUUAAAUGAUGACGAGUGGCAUUAAUGUAGUGUAAAUAACACUAGGGAUUUGAGAACCUAGGGAUAGGUGGAUCCUUUAGAAAAUGCCUUGUGAACAAUGAAUUUAGAAAGCUAAAUAGCAUUGCAUGAAUGUCGGGAACAGAUGAUUCCGCGAGAGAUGUUGACCCUAGUGCAUAGGGCAUCCUCACUUGGAGAGGAUUCGAUUGGGUUAUUGACUCUAGUUGUAGAGCAUCCUCACUUGGAGUGGAUUUGAUUGGGUUGUUGACCCUAGUGUAGUGUAUCCUCACUUGGAGAGGAUAGAUCUAGCUCACAGUCUGCUUUUGGGGUGGUAUAGCCAUCCUAUCCCCACAUAGAGGGGAUUGUCGUCGAGUACUCCGGAGUGUCGCGCGACUAGGACCACUUGGAGGUCCGGACCACUUGGAGGUCCGGACCACAUGGAGGUCCGCAGACGGUCCCGGGCUUGGGUGCACUUGGAGCUCCCUCCCCACUUUGGGAUUGAAAGAUGAGUCAUAGGCGAGCCCUAGGGCCUCGCCACAGAUUUGGGUAAAUGAAAGGUUAAAGGUUUAAAAUGUCAUUGAA